UACGGGGGGGGCAAGCGUUGUUCGGAAUUACUGGGCGUAAAGGGCUCGUAGGCGGCCAACUAAGUCAGACGUGAAAUCCCUCGGCUUAACCGGGGAACUGCGUCUGAUACUGGAUGGCUUGAGGUUGGGAGAGGGAUGCGGAAUUCCAGGUGUAGCGGUGAAAUGCGUAGAUAUCUGGAGGAACACCGGUGGCGAAGGCGGCGUUCUGGACGGCAUCUGACACUGAGAAACGAAAGCCAGGGGAGCAAACGGG
rnacentral:rRNA from 1 species